UGAAUAGGAGCGAAAAAUUAAUUUAAUUAAAAGAGUUGCUUUACUAAAGUCAAAGAACUAACUGGGUAGGAGUGAAGAUUUGGUGAAAAAAGAAGAAUGAGAAGGACAAGACAUGUCUUGUGAGGUGUGACUUAUGAUUCGUUAAGCCAAGGUAAGGGAACAGACACAAACAAGGGGAAGAAAGAAAAAGAAAGAUGCUUCCACUAAAGCUGGUUCGUUCUCUGGUCUUAGGGGAAACCAUCAACCACAACCCUCAUCACAUGCUAACCCAAAAUCACCACCAUUACCACACCCAUCAUGAUGAAGAUAGUGAUGUUGAUGGCACAUCCCAACCCCACCAUCGUAGAAGAAGGAGAAGAAGAAGAAGAACAAGGUACAAAAUCCCAGCUUUGAUUUUUCUCCCAACAAAAGAGAUUAUUAGAGACACAUAUAGGCUUGCUACCAUUGCGAGGGAAUUGGGUUUGGACUUGUACCCUACACCCUCACUCUCUCACAUCAUCUUCUCCAACCCAUCAUCAUCAUCCAAACCCUCAUCAUUGUCUUUCUCUUCUUCUUCCUGCUCCCUCCAAAGCGACGCCGUUCCCAUUCCCUUCCCUUCCCUCUCCGCAACCCCACUCACCCAUCUUCGCUGCUUCCUCACGCUCUCCCCACGCGCCUUCAAGAUCGUCCUUUUCAGCUCCCAUCCUGACGCCGCCGCUGCCGCCGGAAACACUGGCAACUGGGACUGCGACUCUUUCUCGCUCUACUCGCGGGACAUUGGCCAUCGGGUCGGCACCAUGGAGGAGUUUUGUCGGAUUCUUGCUGGCAAAGGUUGGAGCUUUUAUAAAACCAAGAAAAACCCUUCUUCCGACCAGCGGCGCUGCGGCGCUUUUUACCUCUUCAGAAGGGUGGAGAUGAACCGGGUUCGGCUUGGAGCACCGGUGGAUGGCGCAUGCCGAGUGAGGGAAUUGAGGCUACCAUACUUGGAUUUUGGGAAUGCUCCGUUGAGGAUUUUGCAGUAUAUUUUGUUGAUGACUGAUGACAUCUUCUGUUUGGCAUGACAUCUUCGAUCAAUGGUGUGAACUUCUAAAGGUUAGACGAUUUCAUGUCCAAGCAUCAUACGGAAAACCAAACUCUUCUGAAUUGAAAUAUUAUGACAAUUGACGAUAUAUGAUAUGGCAGUGACACUUGCCCAUGACUACGAAACUUUUUCGAUGAAGAAGUUUUGAAAUGAAUUCAUUGGANAAGGUAUGUUGUAGAAAUUUCAUAUUUUCAAGCAACUUGUGGUAUUAGUUAAUCUGAAUNUUGAUGUCGUUAUCUUCCGAACCUUUGGGUAAUUGAGAUAAGAGGAUUCCAAAUAUUUUUUGCUUCCGAGCAACAUACAUUGUCGAAUAAUGCAUUAAAACACAAAUCCUAAACCAAACCUACAAUCUUAAUUUUUAAAUUUUUGAAACACAUUUUCUUUCUAAUUUUUACUGUUAGCUUAUAAACUAAAUCAGCUAGUAAUGUUAGUGUUGAUCCAUGAGUUUUCUCAUAAUGGGAAAUUGAAAUUGGGUGUUAAUGUAUUUACAUAGAGGAGGAUGGAGUUAUUCACAAAACAUGAAUGUAUUUAAGUAAGAGCGAAUGCGAUAAUCCAAUUACAGUGCACCUUCAUCUUGUUGCUUUCCCUGCACAUCACGUGUCGUGUAAUUAAAACACGGCUAAAUUAUUCCAGCGGUAUCCAAUCU